rnacentral:ncRNA from 1 species
UCCUCGGAUGGAAUGGUGAAAAGGGAAUCAGGUGCAAAACCUGAACAGACUCGCUGCUGUAAGCUCCGCCAAAAGUCUUUGGGCAAUACCUAUAUCCACUGUCAAAUGCAGUGAGAAGUUAGUAGUAUACAGUUAAGAACAAAUAAGUUUAAUGACUAGUGACUAAUAACUGAUAACUGAAAAGAUGGGAAGGUGCUUAAAAGAUGGAGUAAGUCAGAAGACCUGCCAAUUUUGUUUG